AACGACACAUGCUCGCUAGGAUAUCGCAUCCUAUGCAUACGUAUCUCCUUGGACGAAGGAGAAUCAGAGCAUUCGUAGCUCGGCUGACACGCACACAAACAAACACAGGCACAGGCAAACGUGGAGCCUGAAUGCCAAUCACUGGACUUACAUCAGCAUCCGAACCAACAGACGCACACAGGAAACCAACUGCCAAUCGCUGGACUUACGUCGGACUCCAACCAGAAAAGGAGAAACAACUCACACAAACAAAACAAAAGGGCGAACGUGGAGCCCGAAUGCCAAUCACUGGACUUACAUCAGCAUCCGAACCAAAACACACGCAAGG
rnacentral:lncRNA from 1 species